rnacentral:lncRNA from 12 species
AUGGCCCCCGGGUUGCAGAAGCAAGUGUCACACGGACGACAGUCCCUGGCCCAAAUCCAUGCCCAGAGGCCGGGGAGCAGGGCUCCUGGGCAGUUGCGACUGUCUUCCCCACCCAGAGUACUCACUCCCAAGUCUGAACAGCAGCUACACUUACCAGCUCUCCGCUGCUCCAGGCUCCACCUAUUUUUCCACAGAGCUGCCAGAGGGACCUGGUUACUGGUCGGAAUUCCUCCACUGCAGCCCAUCCCAGGACAAAAUCCGAGGCAGUCCAAGGCUGCAUUCGAAGGCCUGGGCGUGGAUCAGCCCCCUCCCUGCACGCCGACAGCUCGUUUCCUACCCACGCGUCCCGACGCCCCUUGGGGAGCGCGAAGAGUGCAGCGCCCUUGGAAGCCAGCUUUGGGGAAGGCACCUGACCUCCCGGGACCUCAGGAGGCGCCCCCGAGAAACCCGGCCGCACCGUCUGCGCGCGUCUCAGACAUCUAUCUUCAUGGAGUCUACAGACCCUCUUUGGGAUGAGGGAUCAUAGGAGAACUAUUGACUCUUUUUAAGCAAUAUCAUGGCUGGAUUCGUGUUUUAGGAUAAUCUCCCUGGCUCCUGUGUGGGGUGGAUUCAGAAGGUAGGAAAUAUCUAUGUAUAUUGUUUAAACGCUUGUCAUGUUAAUGUAACUUAUUAAUCCCUAGGCUAUCUCCCGCACUAGACUCAAUAUAGGGAGCAUACUUAUUAAUCACUGUGUCCUAGUGCCUAGCUCAGUUUGGUAGAAAGUAAGCACUUACUGCAUUUUUUUAAAUGAAUGGCUAUAGUUUUUGGCACUAUGCUAGAUAGACACUGAGGCUGAGCAAGUCAGAUGCAGUUCCUGUUCUCAUGCAGUUAGCAGACUAGUGAUCAUGAGUAGCCACUUUAUACAUGUUUAUGCACUGACUAAAUGAAUAUUAUAAAUAAGAGAGAGAGUGUCAAAGAACACAAUUGGGGUGGGGUCUGGAAGUCUGUAUUUUGAAC